rnacentral:misc_RNA from 1 species
CCAUCUCCAUCCCUCAUUGUACUGUCUCAGAACUUGUUGGCCAUAGAACCAUUAGACAAUGGCAUGUUCAAACAAGAACCGUCCCCUGUACAUACGCACUGGGGUCUCCGUCGGCUAUUAUUUCUCGGCUCCAUUUCUGGUCACGUGGUGCCGGGGUUGUCUCCUUCGGCGUUAACAGCCUAACCGCGGACAGACUGGAGCCGAAUGACAAAACUUGUCCCUUCAUUUGACAGAUGACGUUUGAACAUUGGCCUGUUCGUUUAGCGUCGCAGAUGACAUCGCGAUAAGAGGGCUGUCUCGCUGUAGAACCCUCAUCUCUCAACUCAACCUGCUGGAUCCGUCACUCGCUCGGCACACCGCACCACUUCCGUGCACUUCCGUGCACUUCCGUCGUGCACAGCGCACUUGAUGGUCCUGUGGUACCGUUAGUGGUCGGUUCCGUCGCCUGCACAAACACUCACAUCCCUUACAUGUCGGCUGUUUGGCAGCUAAUUUGCUCAUAUCUCGGUCCAAUGUCGGGCUGAAGAGAGAAGCAAAGGACGGAAAAGAGAGACUGAGUAGACAAACACAUCCCCGAUGCCAAACUCGUCGCUACCGCAUCGUCUACUGCAAUACCGUCUGCCGCCACAUCGUCUACUGCAAUACCGUCUGCCGCCACAUCGUCUACCGCCACACCGUCUGCCGCCACCAUGUGGACUUGUCUGCUCAUUUCUUCUGUUUUGCCUUCACACCAGCAGCUCUCAUGCCCUUGCCCCGGUUCCGUGUGCCGAACGUUGACCUAUGCGUCACCGUAUCCACCAGUACGAGACGUAUGCCACCAGAGCAUGUUGGGUUUUCUCUUUUCGCUGCCGGCGAGACGCAUAACAAGCCCGUAUAGCCAGCGAGCUGAGUCCGCGAGCUCGUAUCUUCGAUAUAGACGGCAGGAGGCCAUGCCAGUGCCACGUGAGAGUGAGUCGGGUCAUGCCUCGAACCAGCAUCUCUGAUCAAUAGUCGAGUUGAACGGCCAACGGCUUAAUCUGAAUCACCAUAUCCCGAGAGACACGGAACAAAUCAAUACAGCUGCUCCUGACUUGCUCAUUAUCAAAAUGUGCCUUAGCAACUUGUACGAGCGCCAAUACCGCAUCUUGACUUGGAGUUGACCAAGAUAUACGCACCAGCUUGUCUGUCAUUUUUUGACGUCUAAUGUCCUCAGACAUCGUCCUAACGCCCUCAAACAUCAAUCCAAAGUCCAAACGUUCAUGUCCUCCACUUCUCCACCCAGUCUCGCAAUACCUCCACCUUCGGACGAGACGGAACCAGCGAGCGUCAUGUCUUGCUCGGAAAAGUAAACAACAAAUCUCCGACACAAAGACUGCUCGGUUGCUUUUUUGGUCUGAGAGUUGGCGCAUAGAAGGGUGCUAAAUGGCGCUAAAGAACGCUAAAAGGACGCUAAAGGACGCUAAAAGGACGCUAAAAACUUGCAUAUCAGAGUCUGCAUCUGAGGAUUGCUUUUUUCUGGCUGUAUCCUGACAUCUGGCUAUAUGUACGAAUGAGACAUGUCUCCUUGUGCAGUUACAGCGCGCUGUUACUCGCCGUAUCCGCUCGUUCACCGUAUUCGCUGAUGAGAUGCAUAUGAUGGAAUGAACAUUAGGCGGCAACAGGACCCUGUCACGAUGGUCUGGGCUUUCAAGGUACGGCAGGAUUGGCGGAAGUUGAGCAAGAUGCGGUACUGUGUUUGUACAAGUACUUCUAUUCCUUGGCAGUGCGAUGAGAUAGGUGGAACUUCUACAAGUUUUGUACAGGGAGCGGAUAGAUCGAUGAGCAGAACGUCAAGGUCGAAAAACGUUGAUUAAAAAGCUCAUCGGGUCUCUCGGCUCAAACCCCAUGUCUGGUCAACAGUCUAUGCUCUGUCGAUUUUGAUUGUCCAAAAGUCAAGCAAAGAACAAGCCGGAAGAACAAACCAGAACAAAACCAGAACAAACCCAGAACAAAAUCAGAACAAAAUCCGAAGAACAAAACCAGAGACGAACUGAAACACAUCCGCCGGACAAAGACUUCAGUCUCCUACAGUUUCCAACCACGAACUCUGCCAUCGGACAGUCUCAAUGUUCUCAUCAAAUUCUCCGUCGCAACUCGAGACAUUUAGGAUUUGCGCUAAAUAUUUCACCAUGAAUCCGGACACAACAAAAGUGGUACAUUGAAAGAUAUUGAAAAGAGACCGAUAUUAGAUGAAUAUCAGAGCAAGAAAGAUUGACCCGACCUCAAAAUCUACCCAGAACUACCACUAGGAACUCCAUUUCACCGACCAAACAUCAGUCUUAAGCGAAACCUAGAUCUGGAUAGAGCCUGAAAGUCAUCACGAUUAUUGGCAGACUAGAACGGGGUAAAACUCAAGAAAGUGGGUGUUGAACUGGAGAAAACCAAUCAAGGACGUCUCAUGCAUAAAUUGGUCUUUUUUUUUGGUUUUUCUUCACGACAUCUACAGCCCACCCAAACAUUGGAUCCACUAUGCAGCGCAUCGUCAUCCUGCACUGUUUCAGCUGGCUGGUUCUACUGCGUAGAGUGUCUCGGAGAUGUCUCGGAGAGGCGAUGAGAAUGGAGGAAGAGCACGUCUUGUGUAUUUCCUCGAUAGUGGCUCCAAAUUGGUUCAGAAGAUGGCAAAUGGCAAAUUCGACCCAUAACUGGGUGGGUUUUUAUGUCCUUCUACAGGUACAGUACAGUAUGUACAGUAUGUACUUGUCUCGUUCUCAUGUUCUGAACUGCUAAUAUUAGAUGAGAUUCCAUUUGAGUCAACUUUUCCAAAGCGAAGCACGCUCAAGCAAGUUCCUGGGUUAUCUCGUCGCUGCUGAUCCCUCUAAUUCAGCUCACCACUUCUUCAUGCCCAACUCCGAUCUGAUACCACCAGCAUGGUGGUGGCAAAAGUGAUAUAGAAACAGUUGAGCAUACACUCAUAAAUACAUACA